rnacentral:rRNA from 1 species
AGCGAACGCUGGCGGCAGGCUUAACACAUGCAAGUCGAGCGGACCUUUCGGGGUCAGCGGCGGACGGGUGAGUAACGCGUGGGAACGUGCCUUCCGGUUCGGAAUAACCCUGGGAAACUAGGGCUAAUACCGGAUACGCCCUUAUGGGGAAAGGUUUACUGCCGGAAGAUCGGCCCGCGUCUGAUUAGCUAGUUGGUGGGGUAACGGCCUACCAAGGCGACGAUCAGUAGCUGGUCUGAGAGGAUGAUCAGCCACACUGGGACUGAGACACGGCCCAGACUCCUACGGGAGGCAGCAGUGGGGAAUAUUGGACAAUGGGCGCAAGCCUGAUCCAGCCAUGCCGCGUGAGUGAUGAAGGCCUUAGGGUUGUAAAGCUCUUUUAUCCGGGACGAUAAUGACGGUACCGGAGGAAUAAGGCCCGGCUAACUUCGUGCCAGCCGCCGCCGUAAAAC